rnacentral:rRNA from 1 species
GACGAACGCUGGCGGCGUGCCUAAUACAUGCAAGUCGAACGCUGAAGAGAGGAGCUUGCUCUUCUUGGAUGAGUUGCGAACGGGUGAGUAGCGCGUAGGUAACCUGCCUUGUAGCGGGGGAUAACUAUUGGAAACGAUAGCUAAUACCGCAUAACAAUGGAUGACACAUGUCAUUUAUUUGAAAGGGGCAAUUGCUCCACUACAAGAUGGACCUGCGUUGUAUUAGCUAGUAGGUGAGGUAAUGGCUCACCUAGGCGACGAUACAUAGCCGACCUGAGAGGGUGAUCGGCCACACUGGGACUGAGACACGGCCCAGACUCCUACGGGAGGCAGCAGUAGGGAAUCUUCGGCAAUGGGGGCAACCCUGACCGAGCAACGCCGCGUGAGUGAAGAAGGUUUUCGGAUCGUAAAGCUCUGUUGUAAGUCAAGAACGGGUGUGAGAGUGGAAAGUUCACACUGUGACGGUAGCUUACCAGAAAGGGACGGCUAACUACGUG